AUGCUCACUUCAGCAGCACAUAUACUCGAAAGCUGGAACGACACAGAGAAAAUUAACACGGCCCCUGAAACAGUGACAGGCAAAAUCGUAAAGCAUUCCAUAUUAAG